UACGUAGGGUGCAGGCGUUAAUCGGAAUUACUGGGCGUAAAGCGUGCGCAGGCGGUCUUUUAAGUCAGAUGUGAAAUCCCCGGGCUUAACCUGGGAACUGCGUUUGAAACUGGAAGGCUUGAGUGUGGCAGAGGGGGGUGGAAUUCCACGUGUAGCAGUGAAAUGCGUAGAGUAUGUGGAGGAACACCGAUGGCGAAGGCAGCCCCCUGGGCUAACACUGACGCUCAUGCACGAAAGCGUGGGGAGCAAACAGG
rnacentral:rRNA from 1 species